rnacentral:rRNA from 1 species
GAUGAACGCUGGCGGCGUGCCUAAUACAUGCAAGUCGAGCGAACAGAUGAGGAGCUUGCUCCUCUGACGUUAGCGGCGGACGGGUGAGUAACACGUGGAUAACCUACCUAUAAGACUGGGAUAACUUCGGGAAACCGGAGCUAAUACCGGAUAAUAUAUUGAACCGCAUGGUUCAAUAGUGAAAGACGGUUUUGCUGUCACUUAUAGAUGGAUCCGCGCCGCCUUAGCUAGUUGGUAAGGUAACGGCUUACCAAGGCAACGAUGCGUAGCCGACCUGAGGGGGGGAUGCGCCCCCCUGGACCGGAGCCGCGUCCCCGGCCCCGAGGGAGGGCCGAGGUGGGGAAUUUUGCCAACAGGGGGAAAGCCUGCCGAAGGAGCGCCGGGUGGGUGAUGAAGCUCUUCGUCUCGUAAAACUCUUUUAUGGGGGAAAAACAAAUGUGUAUGUAACUAUGCCUGUGUUACGGUAACCUAUAAAGAAGCCCCGGCUAACCACGUG